AACGAACGCUGGCGGCAUGCCUAACACAUGCAAGUCGAACGAGACCUUCGGGUCUGGUGGCGCACGCGUGCGUAACGGGUGGGAACCUGCCCUUAGGUUCGGCAUAACUCCCCGGAUGGGGUCCUAAUACCGGAGAAAGUACUCCGACCAAAGGUUUAUCGCAUUUGGAUGGGCCCGCGUUGGAUUAGCUUGAUGGGAGGGUAAAAGGCUCCCAAGGCGACGAUCGAUAGCUGGUCAGCGAGGCUGGGCAGCGACACUGGGACUGAGACACGGCCCAGAAUCCUACGGGAAGCAGCAGUGGGGAAUACUGGAAAAUGGGCGGAAUCCUGAACCAGCUAUGACGCUUGAGUGAUUAAGGUCUGAGGGAUGUAAAGCUCUUUUACCCCGGACGAUAAUGACAGUACCGGGAGAAUAAGCUCCGGCUAACUUCGUG
rnacentral:rRNA from 1 species